CCUACGGGGGGCAGCAGUGGGGAAUAUUGCACAAUGGGGGAAACCCUGAUGCAGCGACGCCGCGUGAGUGAAGAAGUAAUUCGUUACGUAAAGCUCUAUCAGCAGGGAAGAAACACUGACCUUACGGUCAGCAGACGGUACCUGAGUAAGAAGCCCCGGCUAACUACGUGCCAGCAGCCGCGGUAAUACGUAGGGGGCAAGCGUUAUCCGGAUUUACGGGGUGUAAGGGAGCGUAGACGGUGCGCCAAGUCUGGAGUGAAAUGCCGCAGCUUAACUGCGGAACUGCUUUGGAAACUGGCGAACUAGAGUGCGGGAGGGGUAAGCGGAAUUCCUGGUGUAGCAGUGAAAGGCGUAGAUAUCAGGAGGAACACCGGUGGCGAAGGCGGCUUACUGGACCGUAACUGACGUUGAGGCUCGAAAGCGUGGGGAGCAAACAGGAUUAGAUACCCCAGUAGUC
rnacentral:rRNA from 1 species